rnacentral:lncRNA from 1 species
GCUGUAGGCGCAUGAUGUCACAAGUUAUUGGAAGAAAUCCCUCCAACCUAGGUUGGGACAGAUGAAGGCGGCGCUUAUUGGUGUUCACCAAAACACCAGCAUGGUGUACCAGCUUUGGCUAGAUGAUGCUCAGAACACCAGAGACUGGGUAAUUAAUAAAAAGAAGAAAUUGAUCUGGCCUACAGUUCUGGAGCCUUGGAAGUCCGAGAUCAAGGAGCUGCAUCUGGGUUCUAGGAUGCCUCAUAAAGGCCCGUAGUGUACUUUCUGUCUACUUCACUUAGCUCCGCAUUUGCAAUUUCUGUUAACAUGCAUACAGUUGAAUGGAUGGCCAGGAUCAAAGCUAUCUGCUGUGAGACACAAUGAGAAAUGCUUUUGUGUAAAGGAAAACACAGAUCCUGGUGCCGAACAUGAGGACAGGGCAGGCCGAAGGAGAAAGUGGAAGGAGGGGAGCUUCUCUCUCAGCCUCAUCCUUCUGGGCCUGGAUGCUGGAGAGUCAUGAGGUGCUUCAGAGUACUCUGGGUGAGGAGGGAAAGAUGGUGCCCACCACAUGGAGGCCAGCCUAGGUCUUGUAUGAAACCUGUGAGGAGAUUCUCUCUCCCUUGCUGUCUUUGAAAAAGCAAGUUGCCAUGUGAAGAGGGCCAUAUAGCAUAGGAGCUGAAGGCAGCCUCCAACUGACGGCAAGAAAAUGAGGUCCUCAGUCUGACAACCUGCAAGAAACUGAAUGUUCUAAAAGCCACAUGAGCUUGGGAGCAGAUCUGACCCCAGCCAAAUCUCUGAAGUCCGCAGGCAGGAAAUGAAGAUCAGAAAAAGGCUAUUGUCUCAUGAAUAUGAGCCAGACUCCACAGAAGCUGGAGUCCUUCAUUAUGGAGCUAAACACAUACACCUGGCUUAGGAGUCAGAAAAACUGAAAGAGAAUUCAGGGAAGUAGAGAAAUUGCAAGCCCAGAUGCUGCUUCAUACCAAAGAAGCAAGUCAGCAGGUCAGCAACAAUGUGUAUCAGUUCCAAAAUGACUUACACAGGUACCAAGACAAGACAUUAUAU